CAGCAGCCACGGUAAUACGAAGGGGGCUAGCGUUGUUCGGAUUUACUGGGCGUAAAGCGCACGUAGGCGGACUUUUAAGUCAGGGGUGGAAUCCCGGGGCUCAACCCCGGAACUGCCUUUGAUACUGGGAGUCUUGAGUUCGAGAGAGGUGAGUGGAAUUGCGUGUGUAGAGGUGAAAUUCGUAGAUAUUCGCAGGAACACCAGUGGCGAAGGCGGCUCACUGGCUCGAUACUGACGCUGAGGUUCGAAAGCGUGGGGAGCAAACAGGAUUAGAGACCCCGGUAGUCCCUGUCUCUUAUAA
rnacentral:rRNA from 1 species